UUUUUGAGUCUGGAUCAAAUUUAUUCAAUAUUACAGUGUCUGUACUGGUGGGACAGGCCAAAUUUAUUAUUUAGAAGAAACAAGUAUUUCUUGCCAGGUGGUGGUGGCACUCGUCUUUAACCCCAACUCUCACACUUGGGAGGCAGAGGCAAGUGGAUCUUUGUGAGUUCGAGGCCAGCCUGGUCUACAGAGUGAGUUCCAGGACAGCUGGAGCUACAUAGAAAAACCCUGUCUCAAAAAACCAAAGCCAGAAACAAACAAGAAAGAGAGAGAGAGAGAGAGAGAGAGAGAGAGAGAGAGAGAGAGAGAGAGAGAGAGAGAGAGAGAGGAGAAAGAAAAAGAAAGAAGCAUGGCUGGCUGUGUCUAGAUCAAGUUUAUUUAACACUGUGGCAUUUGUAACUUGUACCAGCAGAAGCAUCAUUGACUUGUGAGUACAAAGCAGUUUCAUAGAGGCACCCGACCUGCUUAACACUGUUACAACAUUCACCUUGGAGAUAGUCCCGAGGGUGUGGGAGGUGUCAGCCAGUGUCCCAUGCACCCUGGUUACUUCCUGUGCAACAGAAAUCUCCCAACAACAGUGACCACCCGAGGGCUUUCAAGAUCACGAAACUCAUUCAACGUCAGAGAAUUCACACUGGAGAAAAGCCCUAAGCUAGUGAAGGUACGUCAAUUAAUCCCUUUUCCUAGUGCCUCGAAGAACCUUUGGUCAGAACCCUAACCUACGGACAGUUAUCAGCUCAUUCAUUUCAGACGGUAUCAGCUAAGUCAUCUGGCCCCUAAAUUAGUCACAAGGAAGGGCCAUGGCGAUGCACGAGUGAGGAGUGUGCUGAAUAUGGCUGUUUGCUGGGAGAGAGCUACAAGAGAAACUGGCAAGAAAAACCAUGCAGGGGUGGCCCAGUGCUUCUCAUUAGAGAACACACAGUGAAGAAAUGCACCCAUAAAAUUUGUGGGAGAGGCUUGAACACAUCACCCCAUGGCUGAGUGUUGUAGCGCCCUCAUGUGGACACACAGGGUAAAGCUGCUGUUCUCUUCAUUGGGUUUUAAGAGAAUACUAAGCUAUAGGGAGCCUUUCUGGGGACCGGGAAGUCUCCGGUUUAAAGGUAUUUAUUAGCAGUAGCAGUAGAUUAGUAUAACGAGGCAAGUCUAUGAUCCCAGUGGCAGGCUAAGCAAGAGAAUUCUAAGAAGAAUGUGAGUCCAAGGCCAGCCUGGGCUACAGAGUGAGAUUCAGGCAAGUCUAUGAUCCCAGUGGCAGGCUAAGCAAGAGAAUUCUAAGAAGAAUGUGAGUCCAAGGCCAGCCUGGGCUACAGAGUGAGAUUCAGGCCAGUCUUGGCAACUCAGUAAAACCUUGUCUCAAAAUCAAGUCAAGAGAGAGCUGGGGACAUGUCUCAGCAGUAGAGCCUCUGCCUAGAAUCCCCCAAUGAGGGCUGGGGACAUGUCUCAGCAGUAGAGCCCCUGCCUAGAAUCCCCCAGUGAGGGGCUGGGGGCGUGGCUCAGUGGUAGAGCCCCUGCCUAGAAUCCCCCAGUGAGGGGCUGGGGGCGUGGCUCAGUGGUAGAGCCCCUGCCUAGAAUCCCCAGUGAGGGGCUGGGGCGUGGCUCAGUGGUAGAGCCCUUGCUUAGAGUCCCCCAGUGAGGGGCUGGGGGCGUGGCUCAGUGGUAGAGCCCCUGCCUAGAAUCCCCCAUGAGGGGCUGGGGCGUGGCUCAGUGGUAGAGCCCUUGCUUAGAGUCCCCCAGUGAGGGGCUGGGGGCGUGGCUCAGUGGUAGAGCCCCUGCCUAGAAUCCCUAGUGAGGGGCUGGUGGCAUGGCUCAGUGGUAGAGCACUUUCCAAAAUGUGUGAGGUCCAGAGUUCAAUCUACAGUACUGUACAUACAAAAAUCUGAUGAUGUUUUGGUAGGGGAUGUAAUUCUUUCACGAGGUACACAUUUAAACGUUUCCUUUUUGCCCACAACCCUAGAUUUCAUUGCCAUGAGUUCCUUUUCUCUCCCUGGAGUCUCAUCUCCCUUGUUCUUUUUACAAGCUGAGAUUCACUUUGCUGGUCAGCUAUUGGCCUUGGCAUUUGGGACCCAGCUGCAUAUACCACGUGGAGCAUACAAGGUGUGUACUGAGGCCUGGCGUCAGAAUCUGCGUCACAGCUUCUCACAGACUUAGCACAUCUGUGGCUGGGUCCUGUGGUUAUUCUGAGACACACCAGAGGAAGGGCGGCUCUUUCUAGUUUGCUAAUGGGGGAAAUGAGUAUUUGUCAGCCUCACUUGGGGAGAAGCUUGGCUAUUUUUUUAAUUUAGAAAACAGAGUUUCCAAGAGAAAGGGAGAGGCCUUGAGUUCAGUGUCUCCAAUGAUCCUGGACUUAUCCUCCAGCCUCCAAUUCCCAAGGGUAGGAUUGAUUACAAGCGUGCACCACCAUUCCUAGUUUCUGUGGUGCUGAGGAUGGAACCCAGGGUUUUGUACCUGCAAGGCAAGCCACACCCCAGCCUCCUUCGCCCAGUGCUAGGCUGCAUGAAAGGAACUUGGUUGUGUGUGCCUCUGGCUCCGGCCUUCUUUUGAACAAAAGGUAGAAGAAAAAAGGGAGGGGGAGGGAAGGGAAAGAAAGAAGAUGGCCCACGCCCUACACAGAGAAGGGCAGCAGGUACAAUUUAGCUCUACUCUCCUCCCAAGAGGACCAUUUUAAAACAACACAGAGGCUGUCUCCUGAGUAUGACCCCUUCGCACCUGCUGGCUCCCGCUGCCACAAAUUGCUCCAAUUCAUUGUCCCCCAACAGCCGGCUAUCGACACUGGCCACUGCCUUAGAAUUUACCCACACCCUGCCUAAUCUGGCUUCUCACUCUUUGGGCUCUGGAUCUUAGGCAUUAAUAUUCCCCCACACCCACCCAUGUUUUUUCUUCUUCUAAAGGUUAUUCCUCAGCCUGUCUGAGAAGACAGGGACAUAUGGAAAUUUCCAGGAUUACAUAUCUUUCCUGGUCUGAGGGGUUGGAACUAAUCACUGGGGCUGUCCUUUCGGCAGUGAAGGAUCCCACCUGCCUCUUUUUUCCUGUUCCUGUCAUUUCCUCCUCUAAGGAGGGUAUCUCCCCCCAACACUUAGGAAGGAAAGCAACCUGGGUUGUUUUCUUCAUUUAGAGCCGUAAGAAAGAUCCACAGUAGGGGUUGGGGAUUUAGCUCAGUGGUAAAGCGUUUGCCUAGCAAGCGCAAGGCCCUGGGUUCGGUCCCCAGCUCCGAAAAAAAGAAAAAAGAAAAAAAAAAAAAAGAUCCACAGUGCAGCAGUGAGGCAGGGGAUUUUAUGAAGAGCUUAGGACUCUUGCAAGCCCCCAAGGGAAGGAUGAGACCCAGGAGAUAGUAGGCUCGCACAGCAAUCAGGCUGGAAGGAGAUGGUUCCAGUGUAGGCAUUGUGACUCCACGGUGCCACCAGGGACCCCAGGCUCCUUUUGCUCAUCCCCUGUCCUGCCAUCCCCAGCUGGUUGUCUCCCCUUAGUCUUUCUUGUUGCCUCAUGGAUUCAAGGUGGUCCUAAAUAUCUCUCCAUCACUGUAUCAGCAGAAUUGAAUCACAUGACCACUACUAUGGCAAUCAACAGCAAAAGCAAAAAACCCCACAAGUUUGGUGCAGUGACUCACACUGCAUCGCUGUGAAGAUGGGCUCCCUUGAGCUCCAGGGUAGCUUACAGGCCAUGACCUACUCAAAGCAUUCCCUUCUUUCCCUCUGUUCCAAAGACAGCUUUAUUUUUCCUUCUUCCACAGUAAGUGGAUUUUCUCCGUAUCAUGACACUCUCCCUAACUUCCUCCUUCAUUGUGAUUUUGGCCAGAACAUUCGACCAUCAAAGCCCUACUUAUCACUUUGUUACACACUAUCAACCUGUCUGAUUUAGGUUCAGAUUUCAAGUGGGGAGGGGGGACAGGAGGAGAAUCUAACUGGCCCGAUUGGAUUUCUUUCCAUUUUUGACUCAUGACUUCAAAGGCCAUUCGAAGGCCAGCCUGUAUUAGGUUUGGGCCCACAGAAUCGUAUGCAUGCACAGAGGCAGAUCUUGUAAUAUGUGGCGCUGGCAUCUAGGAAGCACUGGCUAGAAGUAGAAUAGGUAAAGUGGAAUGCAGCAGAAAGGGCUAUAGAUAGUGUGGGCUCUGACGGCCCAGACAGCGUACGAUGAGGGAGGCUGCUCUCCUGAGGAGAGUGGACACGUAAAAGAAGGUAGAGACACAAGGGGCCCGUGCACCAGAGCCACUUUACACAUCUGGGCCCCAGAUGGCGGACAUCACAGGGAGAAGAGGGACCCAGCUGGCAGACACAAUGAAGGCUCUCGACACAAAGCCCUACUGGGACCGUGUCCACAGUUUUCAGCCAAUCUAGUGGAGGUCCCAGACGUAGUGGAGCAGAAAUAAACCACAACAAUGCCUGACUUGCAGAGUUGAUGGCAUAACUAGAGACUCUUGAAUCUGCCUCAAUUCAAGAAUCCCCUCAAUUCCCACAGCAGAUAUGCUAGUGUCUGCUGGCAGGGAGCUCAUGUCUCUCACAGGCACAUAUGUUCCUGUAAAGCAUUAGAUAGGUUUGGGCAGGCUGAAGAAGAGAGUGUAGAAGGAGUACCAUUUUCAAAAGGCCACAGAGUCCCGAAAGCGGGUUGCCUAUCCCAGCAAACGGAAGUGAAAUUCCUACAACCCAACACUAGGACUUUUGAGGUCACGGUUGCAGGGAAGAUAAAGAUUUGAGUGCUGGCUCCUCAUGCAUUUGAGUGAGCUGAGCAAAGCUCUCUCCAUCUAUUCCCCUCAGCUGUAACCAGAGGCCCACAAAAGACUUAUUCUAAAGCGUGUUGAGAAGAUUCAGUGAGACACUGCCUGGGUCCCACAGGUCACUGUGAGGAGCACUUACAA
ensembl:lncRNA